AUGAAUGGACAAGAUUCCACAUUUUUGUAUAGCCUGCUCCUCACACAUCAACCCAAAGUUUCUCGAAAAAACUUGAUUAUAGUGAUACAAUACUUGAAUAUGCUCCGCAGUAGCAUAGCCUUUGUGACGCUCGAAACAAUAGUGACUGAACGGAAUUCGCAUACCUGUCUCUUGUGACCUUUGCAAUAAUUGAAGCGGCAGCAAUGCUAAAGACUGAAGCGUCACCUACGCCUCAUAGUUUAAUGAAAUACUUUGAUCACCAAUAACCAACGUCUUAAGCAAUGAAAGUCGGGGCGGUAUACGAUUUCCAUCAAUAAGAAUAUGACAUUUUAUUUUAUUUUUUUGAGGAUGAAGUUUGGGCAAUUUCUCAAUAAGUUCCAAUACUGCUGUUGCCAUAGCCUCCAUAGUACAAAUAAUACCAAAGUACCUCAGCUGUCUCAAAAAGUAAUGAAGAACAUGUCGUUAGCCGGUGGUAGACAUUUUCUCUUGUUUUUUCAUCUAGCGUUUUAGAAUCCUUUUAUUGCAAACAUACAAUGAAGAGGGAUAAAGAGAGCACAUGUCACUACAGGGCCUGCUUUAAUGGGGAAAAGUGAAUAAAGACAAUUUUAAACAUGCACAAUUUGAUUUUAUAACAGUUUUUUUUUCUCUCUACCUAAGCAGCCUCGAC